UAUGGGGUGCUGUGGGGCUCCCUAUGGGGCUGUAUGGGUCCCUGUGGGGCUCUAUGAGGCUCAAUAGGUCCCUGUGGGGCUCUAUGGGGCGCUGUGGGGCCGUAUGGGUCCCUGUGGGGCUCUAUGGGGUGCUGUGGGGCUCCCUAUGGGGCUGUAUGGGUCCCCGUGGGGCUCUAUGAGGCUCAAUAGGUCCCUAUGGGGCUCUAUGGGGCGCUGUGGGUCUCCCUGUGGGGCUCACUGGGUCCCUAUGGGGCUCUAUGGGGCGCUGUGGGUCUCCCUGUGGGGCUGUAUGGGUCCCUGUGGGGCUCUAUGGGGUGCUGUGGGGCUCCCUAUGGGGCUGUAUAGGUCCCUGUGGGGCUCUGUGGGUCCUUGUGGGGCUCUAUGCGUCCCUGUGGGGCUCUGUGAGUCCUUAUGGGGCUCUGUGGGUCCCUGUGGGGCUCUCUGGGUCCCUAUGGGGUGCUGUGGGGCUCCCUAUGGGGCGCUGUGGGUCUCCCUGUGGGGCUCUAUGGGUCCCUGUGGGGCUCUAUGGGGUGCUGUGGGGCUCCCUAUGGGGCUCUAUGGGUCCCUGUGGGGCUCCCUAUGGGGCUGUAUGGGUCCCUGUGGGGCUCAAUGGGGCGCUGUGGGGCCGUAUGGGUCCCUGUGGGGCUCUAUGGGGUGCUGUGCGGAUCCCUAUGGGGCUGUAUGGAUCCCUGUGGGGCUCUAUGAGGCUCAAUAGGUCCCUAUGGGGCGCUGUGGGUCUCCCUGUGGGGCUCUAUGGGUCCCUAUGGGGCUCUAUGGGAUGCUGUGGGGCUGUAUGGGUCCCUGUGGGGCUGUAUGGGGUGCUGUGGGGAUCCCUAUGGGGCUGUAUGGGUCCCUGUGGGGCUCUAUGAGGCUCAAUAGAUCCCUAUGGGGCUCUAUGGGGCGCUGUGGGUCUCCCUGUGGGGCGCUGUGGGUCCCUAUGGGGCUCUAUGGGGUGCUGUGGGGCUCCCUAUGGGGUUGUAUGGGUCCCUAUGGAGCUCUGUGGGUCCUUGUGGGGCUCUAUGGAUCCCUAUGGGGCUCUGUGGGUCUCUGUGGGUCCUUAUGGGGCUCUGUGGGUCCCUAUGGGGCUCUAUGGGUCCCUAUGGGGCUCUGUGGCUCCUUAUGGGGCUCUGUGGGUCCCUGUGGGGCUCUCUGGGUCCCUAUGGAGCUCUGUGGGUCCUUGUGGGGCUCUAUGGAUCCCUAUGGGGCUCUGUGGGUCUCUGUGGGUCCUUAUGGGGCUCUGUGGGUCCCUAUGGGGCUCUAUGGGUCCCUAUGGGGCUCUGUGGCUCCUUAUGGGGCUCUGUGGGUCCCUGUGGGGCUCUGUGGGUCACUAUGGGGCUCUGUGGGUCCCUGUGGGGCUCUAUGGGUCCCCGUGGGGCUCUGUGGGGUCUAUGGGUCCCUAUGGGGCUCUGUGGGUCCCUGUGGGGCUCUAUGGGUCCUUAUGGGGCACUGUGGGUCCCCGUGGGUUCCUGUGGGGCUCUGUGGCUCCCUAUGGGGCUCUAUGGGUCCCUGUGGGGCUGUGUGGGUCCCUAUGGGUGCGUAUGGGGCGCUGUGGGGCAGCCCGGGGGUCGCGGCGCCCCCCAACUCACCGCAGGACGUAAAGGGAGAGCGGCUCCAGCAGCAGCUCUGCCCACUCCUGGGGGUCCCCAACGCUGCGCAGCCGCAUCACCGCCGCCGACAGCAGAGAGAGCCCCGCGAUGGUGCAGCCACAGAACUGGGGGGGGGGGGGUCAGG
ensembl:lncRNA